rnacentral:rRNA from 1 species
GUGAACGCUGGCGGUAGGCCUAACACAUGCAAGUCGAACGGCAGCACAGUAAGAGCUUGCUCUUACGGGUGGCGAGUGGCGGACGGGUGAGGAAUACAUCGGAAUCUACUUUUUCGUGGGGGAUAACGGAGGGAAACUUACGCUAAUACCGCAUACGACCUACGGGUGAAAGCAGGGGAUCUUCGGACCUUGCGCGAUUGAAUGAGCCGAUGUCGGAUUAGCUAGUUGGUGGGGUAAAGGCCCACCAAGGCGACGAUCCGUAGCUGGUCUGAGAGGAUGAUCAGCCACACUGGAACUGAGACACGGUCCAGACUCCUACGGGAGGCAGCAGUGGGGAAUAUUGGACAAUGGGCGCAAGCCUGAUCCAGCCAUACCGCGUGGGUGAAGAAGGCCUUCGGGUUGUAAAGCCCUUUUGUUGGGAAAGAAAAGCAGCAGGUUAAUACCCCGCUGUUCUGACGGUACCCAAAGAAUAAGCACCGGCUAACUUCGUG